rnacentral:lncRNA from 1 species
AACACAAGGAAGAUCUAAGGAGCUAUGAGGUGACUUGAAGGCCCUCCACUUGGGUGAAUCCCUUGUGUAAACAAGGAUGAGCUUCAAGGGUAAUGAUCUCUAAAUCCUUCCUUCUCUUUAAUAUUGUUAAAGAGUCUUGUGGUUCACCAUUCACUAGGCUUUGAAAGUCAUGGGUUUUAGAAUUGUUUUUUAAUGCAUGCCUACUUUAAUGUUUAAUUAGUUUGCAUAUGUGUUCAAAUGUUCUCACAUGUUCUUAGCUAGGACAAAAAUUUUCCUUCAAGUGGUAUCAAGAGUCUUGGUCUAGUUUAUGGUGAAUCCUUUUGGGUUUUGUGUUUUUUCAUUGUUUGUGAUUUAAAUGUUGUAAAUGUUACAAGCUUUGUUCUUGCUUUUGAAUAUAAAUUUUGCUUGAAAAUUUAACAUCUCAAAUGUUGUAGAUGUAGUUCAUUUAAGCAUGAAUAUUGGAACUAAAAUUUGGUGUCAUGUAUGUGGGGAUAUUCGGCCAAAUCCAAAGGGUGGAUUUUUGGGUUCAUGUUUGUCUUGUUAAAAGAGUUUUCAAGUGACUUUAGGAACCCCUAAGUGCCGUAGGAUGUUAACCCUCUUUUGUGUAGUGAAAAUUUGAGUUUUAUUGAGUGAAAACAUUCAUGGAGCUCUUAUGAGUUUUCAGGUGUGUUCUUCAAAGUUCUUGAAGUUCUUACCAAGAACAAAAAGGUUUGGUGUUUUGAUUCAAAGUGUUUGAUGUUUUUCAUAAAGUUUUUUUUUUUAUGGUGGUUGGUGUGACUUUAUUGUAAUAAUUGGUAUGAUAUUAUUUGUCCUUUUCCACCCAUCCCUUUCACCUUUUUCAACACUUUAAAAUUUUGAAUUUUCGCCAAAACCAUUCCCCUUUUUCACUACCAAAACCAGCCACCCUACAAAGUAGGGUACUUUUUGGGCCUUUAUUAAAUUACAUAAAGUUUUGAUACUUUUGUGUAUUUAUACUUUGGUCCAAAAGUUUACGUUUUUACGUAAAGGCCCAAAAUCACUAAAGGACAAAUUGUUUUGCUCCUUUAAUGAAGUUUUUGUUAUUGUUGAAAUUUUUUGGGUUCUAGUUGUAAUUACAUGAAGUUGUGGACUCUUAUGUUUUUACAAAGUGACCCCAAAAGUUUAUGUUUUAACAUUGUGGCCCAAUAGUUGUGGUCAUUGUUUUUCGGCCCAAAAGACGAUGAGAACAAAAUGGUUUUGUCUCUUUAAUGACAAUUGGAUUUUCAUUUCAUUGAGUUCCAUUUAAAUCAAUUCUAUGAAUCCGAAAACCAAUUGUUUAAGUUGCUUUCUUAGUUAAUAUGAUUGAUUAAGAAAAGGGUGAUUAUGAACCAAAGGCCUCGAUAAUUGACCUAUGUGAUUGGCCGCUUUACAUUAUGAAUGCUUGGGUUAAGUAGUUUAGAUUUGAAUGUAAUUUGAUUAGUUCAAAUUUGUUGUAAAUGGACAUAAGUCCAUCAAAUGUGUUGUAAAAGGGCAUAAGCCCUUCUCUUUAUUUCAAGUAUUCCUAUUUGUUUAUUUGUAUGCAAAUUGGAAUAGUUGGGUCCAACGCCCAAUAGGAAAUAACGGUUUAAUUAGAUUAAACA